rnacentral:lncRNA from 1 species
GGAAAUUAAAAAUGUAGUGGGAUCCAACAUUAGUAGGUGUAAAAUGACACUGAUGGCUCUAUUAGUCCUUUUGUUAUGUUAAGAGGCAAACGCAUUCUAUAGAAAUGAUUUUCGUAUGCAAAAAAUAGUAGAUUCCACUCUUCAAGAAAUAUUAUUUUAUUCAAAAUAUUAUUAUGUUUUCUCUCUUCCUCUUGCUUUACCUUUCUCUCAUUUUCUCAAUUUUCUUCAUUAGCUUUCAUAACCUUCUUCUUUCAACGCUACAUCUCCUUACAAAAUUCUUUGUUCUCUCUUUGUGAUUUGUCCUCUCUUGUUCACAUGCAUUCAAGAAUUAACCGGCGCUACGAUGGUGAAGAUGCAACAUCUCCUCUCACCAUAAAACUCCCCCCCCCCAAAUCGCUUCUUCCUCAAACCUUAGGAUUUUGAGCGAAAUCAAAGAUUAGGAUUACAUUAACUCAUAGUCUCACAUCACAUUAUUGUUCUGUACUUUCAAUGGAAACGUUCUUUAUCCAGUUCGUCUCGCUAUCUCCAUGGAGAUCCAUUGGGUAUGAAAAGAUAAUAUAAUAAUUAGUCAGCUAACAUUAGGUCAGCGACUGGUGUAGAUUCAGUGUGAAGGAUUUGGUUACAACCAUUCCGCAUGUACAAUACGGUUAUAGAGAAUUUCCUCGACACUAAUAUUAGGCGUACGGAUUAUUGGAUGUAUAAAGAUUCAUAUAUUCGGCUAAACUUAAUAUUAGCUAUGAUUUAAAUAACUGUUGGCUGGAUAAAAUAUUUUAAGUAUAGUUAACACUUUUAUUAGCUGUCGUUUUAAAAAAUCGUACAAAUUGGAUAAUCCUCGAAAACAAUAAUACACUAAUAUUUACUAUUAUUAUCAUAUGUAAUCUGUUCACAUAGCUUGCUAACAACGUUAUCCAUCCUGUUUAAUAAAAUAUGUAACCGUCUAUUAUAUUUGGUGCUCAUAUAGCUUGCUAACAAAAUAUGUAGCAAAAUAUGUAACUGUCGAAUGACCCACUUGGCUACAUUGCACGAUUAAAAUAUUUGGGGUUGAUUCGCGAGGAUGUUCUGUAAAUCUAAAAUGUUGGGGGUCAAAUUGAAAAGAACUAGAACGCUAGGGACCUAUCGUUCAAAAACAUAGAAAGUCACCAUUGGAUAGAUCAACCUUUCUCUUCGCCGGAUUUUGAGCUUGAUGGAGAUGACAAGGAGGAGCAUGAUGGCAAGUCUUGAAUUCGGAGCAUGACGACGUCGGUAGAUCAAAGCGACUAAAUAUCCGGUGACGAAGGAGAAUAGGAAAUCAGGUGGACUUACAAACAGAGCGGAGAACAGGGAAUCGGGUGGGACUUCAUAAUCUUUUAACUAAGAGUUUGACGGAGAAAACAAUGUGGAUUUUUUUAGAUGAAAAAAAGAUGUAAGAGAAGAAGAACUGAAGAGUAUUGAUUAGUGUGAACAUGCAACAACUCUUUGUUGUAUAUGUCGCUUAUUAUAGGUUAGGUAGGUGUUUAGUAGACCAAUAUAAUAUAGGUUGUAUUGUAGCAAGAAUAGGGAUAGAAAUGUCAUUUAAAAAAAACACAUCAGCAAGAAAAACCAACUUCCAUCUGUGCAAAUUAUGGGGUUAUGUUUGUAGACGGAGUGCAGUUACUAUAAAUUUUAAACCCUACACUCUAAACUCUAAAUCAUAAACCUC